CCCACCGCUGCCACCAAUUGUAACGGACCGUUUUGCACAAAAGGGAAAAAAAAACGCUUAGACGAUAAUCCCCUUUCAGAGACAGGCACAGCUACUGUAGAAUCACCAAAACUCACGAACUGAAUACAAGUGAAUGCUCCAAACUCCCGAACGGCAUACAAGGGAAUGCUCCAAACAUUCGAACUGCAUACAAGGGAAUGGU